rnacentral:misc_RNA from 1 species
CUCUCAUUCAGAAGAUCUCCGAUCGUCAGAUUACAAAGAUGGCUGCGUGGACAGCGGUGGCGCGUCAAGCUUCAUCCCUCUCUCGACUCUCGGCUACCAAAUCAGUGAACACAACCAGCCAAGGCGCACUCCUCAUCCAGCGGCGCGGUCUAUCCGGUGGCGGUGACCAUCAUGGUCCUCCAAAGGUGAACAUUUGGCAGGAUCCAAUGAGCCCAUCAAAAUGGAAAGAAGAGCAUUUUGUG